rnacentral:rRNA from 1 species
CAUUACAAGUGACCCCGGUCUAACCACCGGGAUGUUCAUAACCCUUUGUUGUCCGACUCUGUUGCCUCCGGGGCGACCCUGCCUUCGGGCGGGGGCUCCGGGUGGACACUUCAAACUCUUGCGUAACUUUGCAGUCUGAGUAAACUUAAUUAAUAAAUUAAAACUUUUAACAACGGAUCUCUUGGUUCUGGCAUCGAUGAAGAACGCAGCGAAAUGCGAUAAGUAAUGUGAAUUGCAGAAUUCAGUGAAUCAUCGAAUCUUUGAACGCACAUUGCGCCCCCUGGUAUUCCGGGGGGCAUGCCUGUUCGAGCGUCAUUUCACCACUCAAGCCUCGCUUGGUAUUGGGCAACGCGGUCCGCCGCGUGCCUCAAAUCGACCGGCUGGGUCUUCUGUCCCCUAAGCGUUGUGGAAACUAUUCGCUAAAGGGUGUUCGGGAGGCUACGCCGUAAAACAACCCCAUUUCUAAGGUUGACCUCGGAUCAGGUAGGGAUACCCGCUGAACUUAAGCAUAUCAAUAAGCGGAGGAAAAGAAACCAACAGGGAUUGCUCUAGUAACGGCGAGUGAAGCAGCAAUAGCUCAAAUUUGAAAUCUGGCGUCUUCGACGUCCGAGUUGUAAUUUGUAGAGGAUGCUUCUGAGUAACCACCGACCUAAGUUCCUUGGAACAGGACGUCAUAGAGGGUGAGAAUCCCGUAUGCGGUCGGAAAGGUGCUCUAUACGUAGCUCCUUCGACGAGUCGAGUUGUUUGGGAAUGCAGCUCUAAAUGGGAGGUAAAUUUCUUCUAAAGCUAAAUAUUGGCCAGAGACCGAUAGCGCACAAGUAGAGUGAUCGAAAGAUGAAAAGCACUUUGGAAAGAGAGUUAAAAAGCACGUGAAAUUGUUAAAAGGGAAGGGAUUGCAACCAGACUUGCUCGCGGUGUUCCGCCGGUCUUCUGACCGGUCUACUCGCCGCGUUGCAGGCCAGCAUCGUCUGGUGCCGCUGGAUAAGACUUGAGGA